AUAGUGAAAGCCCCGGCGGUUAGAGAUGGGCAUGCGUGACAUUAGUUUGUUGGUGAGGUAACGGCUCACCAAUGCCACGAUGUCUAGGGGGUCUGAGAGGAUGGUCCCCCACACUGGUACUGAGACACGGACCAGACUCCUACGGGAGGGCAGCAGUGAGGAAUAUUGGUCAAUGGGCGAAAGCCUGAACCAGCCAUGCCGCGUGAAGGAUGACAGCGCUAUGCGUUGUAAACUUCUUUUGUACGGGAAGAAACACUUCUACUUGUAGAAGCUUGACGGUACCGUACGAAUAAGCAUCGGCUAACUCCGUGCCAGCAGCCGCGGUAAUACGGAGGAUGCAAGCGUUAUCCGGAUUUAUUGGGUUUAAAGGGUACGUAAGGCGGAAAAUUAAGUCAGUGGUGAAAUCCCGCAGCUUAACUGUGGAACUGUCAUUGAUACUGGUUUUCUUGAAUAUAGUUGAGGUAGGCGGAAUGUGUAAUGUAGCGGUGAAAUGCUUAGAUAUUACACAGAACACCGAUUGCGAAGGCAGCUUACUAAACUAUGAUUGACGCUGAGGUACGAAAGCGUGGGGAGCGAACAGGAUUAGAUACCCUGGUAGUCCACGCUGUAAACGAUGAUCACUCGUUGUUGGCGAUAUACUGUCAGCGACUGAGCGAAAGCAUUAAGUGAUCCACCUGGGGAGUACGACCGCAAGGUUGAAACUCAAAGGAAUUGACGGGGGCCCGCACAAGCGGAGGAACAUGUGGUUUAAUUCGAUGAUACGCGAGGAACCUUACCUGGGCUUAAAUGCAGAACGACGGACCGGGAAACUGGUCUUUCUUCGGACGGACUGCAAGGUGCUGCAUGGCUGUCGUCAGCUCGUGCCGUGAGGUGUCGGGUUAAGUCCCAUAACGAGCGCAACCCUCAUCGUUAGUUGCCAGUGGGUAAUGCCGGGGACUCUAAUGAAACUGCCGGUGUAAACCGAGAGGAAGGUGGGGAUGACGUCAAGUCAGCACGGCCCUUAUGUCCAGGGCUACACACGUGUUACAAUGGUCGGUACAAAGGCAGCUACCUGGUGACAGGAUGCUAAUCUCGAAAACCGAUCUAGUUCGGAUCGAAGUCUGCACUCGACUCGUGAAGCUGGAUUCGCUAGUAAUCGCGCAUCAGCCACGGC
rnacentral:rRNA from 1 species